GAUUCCUACUAGUAUUGAAUUGAAUUGACUGUAAUGAUGGUUGUCUUUGAAUAAUCCUAGAAAGUUCGGCAUAAGAACUCGCUUAGAUGUUUGUCCAAGAGAUGACUUUGAAGCGAAUAAUAGCUAAAAAUGCUGUGAACCAUGAGUGGUUUAGUGAGGUCUCUUUGCCCAAAUGAAAAGAUUUUAUGCCGACAGUUCCUGUUUAACAUGCCCAAAACAGUAAUCCCAGGGGAUGAAGAUAUGGCUUUGGAAGUUGGGUCAACACCUCUAAGUCUUCUCUAGGUCAGUUGCUUAAGUUUACUGAUACGUUUAGGGGAAAAUUGUGUAUCAAUCAAGGUCUUUUUUUCUUUGAUAAAUUUUAAUGUGUUUUGUGUGAAAAUUUCAGCUAUGUCAAUGACUCAAGUUGCUUGCUGAAAUUUGUGUUGGUACUGGAUGUGAAGCA